GGCAGUUCUCAGGUGACGCACCCUAGAAUUGGGCUCCCUCCUCUCUGGUUUCAGGUGUGUCACAUGAGAACUGCA
rfam:Myotis davidii contig41189, whole genome shotgun sequence.